GCGCCUGUGGUUUAGUGGUAAAAUCCAUCGUUGCCAUUAGCAUCUCUUCCUUACAAGAGACGUCAAACAACAUCGAUGGGCCCCGGAUUCGAUUUCCGGCGGGCGCA
rnacentral:tRNA from 1 species